UUGAACCGGGGCCCAAAUCGGACCCAUGGGUUCAACCGGGCCCCUAACAUAAAUGAAGCAGCAGCUUCAUCUUCUCCAUUUCACCACAGCAACGAAAAACACAGCAAGGGGGAGAAGAGAAGAAACCUAACCCUCACCAUUCCUUCCAACUACCAUAACUUCCUCAUCCGGGCUCCGAUUGCCGUACUGUUCGCGGCCACGCGCUCAGCGCGUCGAGCUCUACCUUUCUAUCCAAACAAUUUCUCUAGUUCAAGUUAGAUUCCGGAACUUGUGGGCUCAAGCUAUUGAGCAUAUGGGUAUGAUGCAGGUCAAGAGGCUCCUCGCUAGGUGUCUGGAUCUUCAAGCGGAGUAGUCCCUGGGUUGUU